rnacentral:rRNA from 1 species
UACGUAGGGUGCAAGCGUUAAUCGGAAUUACUGGGCGUAAAGCGUGCGCAGGCGGCUUUGCAAGACAGAUGUGAAAUCCCCGGGCUUAACCUGGGAGCUGCAUUUGUGACUGCAUGGCUGGAGUGCGGCAGAGGGGGAUGGAAUUCCGCGUGUAGCAGUGAAAUGCGUAGAUAUGCGGAGGAACACCGAUGGCGAAGGCAAUCCCCUGGGCCUGCACUGACGCUCAUGCACGAAAGCGUGGGGAGCGAACAGG